AAAGGCCUGGAAAAACGGGGACGAAAAAAAAAAAACAUUAUUUUGACUUUGUAAACAAUCGUAGUAGACGACCCACACGCGCCUUGUUAUUUUUCCAAACAAAGUUGCGCAGGUAACCAUGGGUCCCAUAGCGACGGCCAACAGAGGAAAAAGGAAAAUACAGCGCUCGACCAAAAUUUUAAUCAGAGAGGCUUUGAGUGUCAUUUUGUGAGGUCGUGUCUGGCAUUGUCUCGCUUUCGAUUUGGCUUUUUUCGUUUUUUGCUUGGUUUUUGUCUUUCUUUUCAGCGAUUUUUACAGGAAUGGAGCAAAAUUCUAAAUGUGGCUGUUCCGCUGAGGAACGGACCGUGACCAGGUCUGUCCAGGCUACCGAGGCAUUUGAGGAGGCUAUACGUACCCUGACUGUGGCGAUUCGGGACAGUCGCCGAGAGCGCUGUCCCGAGGGGUGUUUGUCGGUCUGUUGGCUUAACUUUAUGACUGGGAUCGUAGCCCAACCCCCGCCGGAGCGUGUUGGAGUUUACCGUCGUAAAACCAAAGGUGACGGUGCUGGCCGCUGUGAUGUGGCCACCCAAACCUUUCCGGUAACGCACGACCAGUUGCUUCGCAAAGUCAAGCUAGCGUCCAUGCACAUUGCAAUCAGGCAAGCAAAACAUCGUUGCACCUGCGGUAUCGUUGAAGCCAUUUUGGCCACGAUGGAGCUGGAACUGACGGGUCAAAACGCAGGUUUGGAAAUCGUCGAGGUGGAAGAGGAAAAAUUGGUUCAAAUUUUCAAAUGUCGCGGCCAAGAGCCAAAUUUUCCGUCAGAAAUUGUCGAAGAAGAUGCGAGUCGAAAUUCUAGUGCCAACCACGUCUUCCGCCCUGCUUGGACCAUUUUCGGUAGAAAACUUCUGCGCUGUCUGAGCAUUGUGACAGCGGAAGUGUUCAAAAUUUACACUGGACGCUGAUUUUGCGUCUUUUUCUCUAAAUUUCUUGUGGUUUUUCUAUUUGGGCUGAUAGGUAUUUCCGAUACGUUUUUCUUCUUUGAUAUUCCAAAACAUUCGAACUUGGUGAUUGUCGCGAGUUUGAACAUCAAGCUAAAUUUUCUAAUCUUUUGAUCUGUCGUUUUGUGCGGAAUCCUCUUCUCAAAGGGUUUGUUUGCAGGGUUUAAAAAUGGGUCAUUGAAUUAUUUUUUUUAUCACCAAUUUUCCAAAUGUGUUUAGUUCAUUGUUUGUUAUUUCUUAUUACAAAAUGUAUGUUCAAAGUACAUUGAAGCUUAUUGAUAACAUUAAGCGGAAUGUAAUAUUCUUAUCGGCAAGAGAAUCUUAGAUCGAAGCCAAAAGUUUUCUUUGUUUUUAAGUGUUAAAAGUGAUGUUAAAUUUUGGUAAGAAUAAGAUAUUUUUUUUUUUUGCUAAGCGAAAUAAAAAAUAACAAUCAGUUAUAUUACAAUUUUAUUUCGAAAAUCGGUGAUGAGAAAAGCAAUUGAUGAACAAACUUUAAACUUUGUGGGCAAACAUUUUGGGAAGAAUUGACCAAACAAAACGCACAUAUCACAAGAUUAGAAAGUUUUGAUUGAUGUUAAACUUACGAUGAUUGCUAUCUAAAUUAUUUUUGGGUAUUGAAGAAGAAAAACAAUUGAUAAAAGUUAAAAAUUUCUGUAAAUAAAUUUUUUUGUGUUCCGCGAGCUUACAAAUGAUACUCAAUGCCUCUCUCCAGUGAUUUAACGAGUUGUUUGUUAUGGUUUAAUGUUGACCUAACUGCAAUUCGUUAUAAAAAAAAAAAACAAAUUGUUCAAACUUUUUGAAACUUCCUUUGCACUUUUAAUAACUUUUUCUCUCUUUCUCUCUUUUUUCAAAGGUCAUAACUGUCGAAUGAGAACGAUUGCUGUUGAUGGCUGAAGAUUUGUAACUAACCACAAGAGGAGACGAUAGAUAGGACGCGGGGUCACGAUGGAAAUUGGGAAAUACCGAUGGAUUGUGGUAGAGGCUGAUGAUUCAAUGGAGAGAUAUUUUGAGGAUCAACUUAAUUUGUUAACAUAAUCUGUAAAAUUUGGUUUUCCAUGAAAUAAAAUAUUUAAAAACUGAA